rnacentral:rRNA from 1 species
UGAGGAAUCUUGCGCAAUGGGGGAAGCCCUGACGCAGCAACGCCGCGUGAGUGAGGAAGGUCUUCGGGUCGUAAAGCUCUGUCAGGCGGGAAGAAAUGCAUGGAGAUGAACAGCCGCCAUGCUUGACGGUACCGCCAGAGGAAGCACCGGCUAACUCCGUGCCAGCAGCCGCGGUAAUACGGGGGGUGCAAGCGUUGUUCGGAAUCAUUGGGCGUAAAGAGCGUGUAGGGGGCUUGGUAAGUCAGAUGUGAAAGCCCUGGGCUCAACCCGGGAAGUGCAUUUGAAACUGCCAGGCUCGAGUAGGGGAGAGGGAAGUGGAAUUCCUGGUGUAGAGGUGAAAUUCGUAGAUAUCAGGAGGAACACCGGUGGCGAAGGCGACUUCCUGGCCCUAUACUGACGCUGAGACGCGAGAGCGUGGGUAGCAAACAG